rnacentral:rRNA from 1 species
GACAGAGGGUGCGAACGUUGUUCGGAAUUACUGGGCGUAAAGCGCAUGUAGGCGGCAACGCAAGUCGGGCGUGAAAUCCCACGGCUCAACCGUGGAAGUGCACUCGAAACUGCGUAGCUAGAGUCCUGGAGAGGAAGGUGGAAUGCUUGGUGUAGAGGUGAAAUUCGUAGAUAUCAGGAGGAACACCGGUGGCGAAGGCGGGUCUCUGGGCCGAUACUGACGCUGAGGAGCGAAAGCGUGGGGAGCGAACAGG